rnacentral:rRNA from 1 species
AGUGAACGCUGGCGGUAGGCCUAACACAUGCAAGUCGAACGGCAGCACAGUAAGAGCUUGCUCUUACGGGUGGCGAGUGGCGGACGAGUGAGGAAUACAUCGGAAUCUACUUUUUCGUGGGGGAUAACGUAGGGAAAAUUACGCUAAUACCGCAUACGACCUACGGGUGAAAGCAGGGGAUCUUCGGACCUUGCGCGAUUGAAUGAGCCGAUGUCGGAUUAGCUAGUUGGCGGGGUAAAGGCCCACCAAGGCGACGAUCCGUAGCUGGUCUGAGAGGAUGAUCAGCCACACUGGAACUGAGACACGGUCCAGACUCCUACGGGAGGCAGCAGUGGGGAAUAUUGGACAAAGGGCGCAAGCCUGAUCCAGCCAUACCGCGUGGGUGAAGAAGGCCUUCGGGUUGUAAAGCCCUUUUGUUGGGAAAGAAAAGCAGCAGGUUAAUACCCCGCUGUUCUGACGGUACCCAAAGAAUAAGCACCGGCUAACUUCGUG